rnacentral:misc_RNA from 1 species
UGGCGCACAUCAGACAUGGCACCAGGGGGCGACUGCGGCCGCGCAUAGAGCCGUUCUACGCCACCGCACUCCCCACCCCCCUCGCUUCGUCGGGCACCACACAUUCGCUGUCCAACCAUUCCUCCCUGCAGGAGGCAGUCACAGACAGACAGACAGAGAUAUAGUGAUUAUGACACUCAAGACGCAGCGCGACGCUACCGCGUUACCACAACGUGACCAGCCACAGCGCUGUACGGUGCCGCCGCCGCCAUCGCAGCAGCAGCAGCAUUUCCUUAUUCGAAGCGGAAUUCGUGAAGAUGCUGCACGUGAAGUCCUCGACGCUGCGUUCCUCCGCGGGGUGCCGCCAUCACUGCCGUCGACUGCGGUGGAGCACAGCAAUGAGCACCUCAGCCCAGACGUACCUGUCGUUGGCGUUGGCUCGCUGACCGCAGCGAGGGGCGACUGUCUGACCGCCAUCAUCCACCAUACAGAGCCACCGAGCGCUGUAGCUCAUCGUAAAUCGAAGGCUGAAGCACACGCUGCACCGCUUCAUCACGGCUGGGGCAGUCGUCGCGAUGGUGGCAGUGACGACGAUGUUGCUGCAAUGGCAGAAGAGAUGAGACGUAGCGAGGGUGGAGACCCGCCGAACGACGAGGGAGGGCUCUGACCAUGGGUACGCUCGCGACUGCCUUGGCUGAGCGACAGCACGCUUUCGGCGUGGAUGGAGAUAGCAGAGCGUCUUGUGCCACCUGGUGGCCAUGUAUCGAACAUCUUCAACAUGGCAAGCAACACCCUCGGCAUCGGCAUCGUGUCGAUGGCGUCCGGCUUCAACACAACGGGCAUCUGCCUCUCUGCCAUUCUCAUGGUCGUGUGCGCGGUGCUGGUUGUCUUCUCCUUCUACCUGAUCGGCGUGACGUGCGAGCGCAGCCCGUAUCGCUCGUGGGAGUCCGCGUGCCUUUGCAUCCUGUUCCCGAGAGCCGACUACAUCGUUGCUGGCGUGAUGCUAUUCUUUCAAUUUGGCACCAUGGUCGGCUUCGUGACAGCGGUGUCUGAUCUUCUCGUGCCUUUUGUGUAGUCCAGCGCGCCAGCCGGUGCCUCUGGACCGAAUACUGUCUCGGUGCCGCUGCACUGCGGCUUCGCGGUGCUCGUGUGGCUGGUCGGCAUGCUGCCGCUGUGCCUGCCGUGUCGCGUAGCGUCGCUGCGCUACUUCUCAAUUAUCGGUGUGACACUCGUGAUCUGCUUUGUGCUCGCCGUCGUUGCGCACUCGUCGACGGCUGGGCUGCCGCACCUGCACGAGCUCAAGUACUUCGCCACCGGCAUCGACGCUGUGAACGGUCUGACGCUGUUCAUCUUCGCGUUCCUUGGGCAUGGCCUGUGCUUCCGCCUGUUCGAUGAGAUGCGCCACCCGAGCGCGAGAGACCUGCUCCUCGACGCCUGUGGCAGCGUCUCUCUGAUCGGCAUGCUGUGCUUCGUGGUGGGCUUCUUUGGCUACGCGGAGUUUGGGCUAGACAUCAGUGGGUCGAUCUUGAAGUACUACCACAUGCGCAGCGACCCCAUGAUGCUGGCUGCGUACAUGGGCAUCCUGCUGAAGAUCUGCGUCGCGUACGCGCUGAGUGGACAGGCGUGCCGCCUGCCGAUCUUCUACAUCUUGAAAACCGAUAUCGACUCCUGCCCCUAUCAACUGCACCUGGGCAUCACGGCUCCGCUGUGCGUGUGCUCCUUGAUUUUGGGCCUGCUCAUGCCGGACAUCAACAUUGGGUUCAACCUGCUUGGCAGCAUGUGCGGCGGCGUUCUUGCCUUCCUGCUGCCGUCGUUUCUUGUGAUGUACCUCGGCGGCUGGCCGCUGCACCGCGUGGGGUGGGUCCGGAUGGGGCUGACGUACGUGAACAUGAUUGCCGGCGUUCUCGCCAUUGUCUUUGGCACAGCGGUGACGAUCGGCGACAUGGUGAAGAGGUACGGCUGAGCUGCGGCAGGAACGUACGAACGAGGCGUUGUGCGAGUAGCGGCUCACGAGGUAGCCCUCCUGGGCGCUUGGUGGCAUGCGACCCACACCGGCAGAUAAAUGGAACGCACUGCGGAAUUGGUGAGUGAGCGGCAGGCAGGGGGGGGGGCGGGGAGGCGCGGUCAGGGAGCCUGGCGUAGAGGAGAGAGGGCUGCUGCUCUCAGUUUCAUGGAUGCGUCUGUGCUGCUGCGCCACGGAUGUGCUGAUCCUGGCGCAACGAGAGCGACAGCGGCAGCCGUGGCGUGCUCUUGCCCUCUCCCUGUCCCUCGCCAUCCCAACUCUUGCAGCCACCAACACUUUGGUAACGGAUAACGCCUUGCUAGUGGUGCGUCCGGUGCAUGUCGUCCUGGCGCCACGAGCCCGCCGCCGUCGUCGUCGUCGUCGCGCGUCUCUCACCUCGGCUUGUCGUUGGCUAUUGCGAGCUGGUGCAGCAGGGCGAAGCUGACAAGCUCGCGACAUCGGCAGUGAAGGAGGGGCCGGCGCCAACUGCACGGAUCGCGGACUUGGGUACUGUCCUUAGACGCGAGGUCGAUAGCCGCAUAUCCGCUCCCCCUAAAAAAAAAACGCGGUGCACGAUGCGACACGCCACAGCAAGAGGUGCUUGGCGACAGUCGUCCCACACCCGAGGAACACGGAUGCUGAGCUCGCGAGGCCGCAGGAGACCAUCUUCACGCAGUCCCGCACAGACACCUGUCCGUGCAUUUUGGAUCGCUGCAGCGGCGGGUGGCUGGCGGUGACAACAUGGGGCGCAGAUGGUGUGCUGCCUAUUACGCCGCCGGCAUUGUGGCACCCACCCACCCCCGCCUGCUGCUUGUGCCAUGAGGGCGGCCGGCCCGGCGCUGUGCCCGGUAUGCUACGCGGGAUUCGCGGAUCGCUUGAAGCUGACAGCGCGCCUCGACUGGGGCAAUGAUCUGACUGCGCGCAUCUCACUCGCGCUGCACGGGCGCCCCCCCCCCCCCCGAUGGGGUGUCUGUGGCCGCACCCCCACACCCUCUGUGCCCCCGUCGGUACGGCAGGCUGUGGGCUCUUUGUGCGCUGGCACCUGCCGAUGCACGGGCCCCCUCUGCUGGGCACACCCGCCCCGGUGAGAGGCGUACGGGCUGAGGUGAUGGUGGUGUGCGCGCAUGCGUGUAUACUUUUCUAGCUUAUUCCCUGUGUGGUGAACUGCGGACAUGUCGGACGCAUGGAGGAUACAUGGGGGCUUGCGUACAAACCCCCCGUCUCCCUGGCAGUUGGAGGUGCUGCUCCGCCCUCUCCUCUGUUAGCGUAUUUUUCGGAGCUCCUGAAAGUGUUUCCGUUGCGGUUUCUUCUCCUUGUACGAGGAUGCGUCUUCUCUGGCAAGGAGGGCGCCCGUCUGAGGGGAUGCGGUGAGGGAGAGGCGCUGAUCACGUGCGUGCUCGGCUCUGGUCCAGCUUGUAUGUGGUUGUCAGCCUUUCAUCUCCGUUGUUUGUCGUGGCGCGCGGUUCUGGUGCAUACGAUGGCAAGUGUGUGCACGUGGCCUUGAGCGCGCAAAGACGUUGCAUUCUUUACGGUUGAGGCGCACUCUCUGCUUGUUUCGUUUCUCUUCUCCUCCGCCCUCUGCCCAGUAGCGUGCCAGGCGUGUCUCUCACGCCCCCUCCCCUCGGAAGAAGAGAUGCACAUGUGCACACCGCAGUGCAGGCGUCAGUGCACGUCUGCCGCAUGUGCGUGUGUGUGUGCGUCUGCGAUCGUGCGUUGCGCUACAUCACUUACAGCUCUCUCUACCCUUCUUUGUGCUUUCUGCCGUCCACAGCCCCCUCCCCUCUCCCCUGGCUUGGUGCGUCGUCUGGCCGAGCCACUCGUGACGCCUUCAUCGAGCGUUGCGCUCCGUCGUCGGCGCUUCUCGCUUCUCUCGCGGGCUGCUGAAGCUGAUGUGCUGUUCUUGAAGUGCGUUAACGCACGCGCGGCACCGUGGCAGCGGCUGCUGUGAGCUAAGGGACGUUGAGUGAGGAUGGAUGGGCCUGCUGGCGAAAAUUUCGUGGAGGAGUACGUUUGAGGGGAGGUGGGGGAGGGAGGGGGCGCGCGUGCAUCGUGCUUGAAAGGGUGGUGGGGCUGCUGUGCACGCACACACGCGCACACACUCUUCGCAUGUGUACAUUGUUUCUCUUGCCCUCUCGAGCAGUUACGCUCCAGCGAGGACCAACGGCUGAGAAGCGUGCCUCACCGCUGUCGAACUUGCCCUUCUCGCCUUCCCUCCCCCCACGCCACCGCCACCGCGGCAUUCGCGGAAGAGACGUCCGCGUUCACGUAUGCGCGUGCAUGUGCCCUUUAUGUGUGUGUGCGUGUCAGUGUGUGUGUGUGCCUGCAGGGGCUGGACGCAUGCGGCUCCCUCACGAACCUCUUCUUUGGUGAGGCACACUUCUCUGUCUGUCUGCCUGUCUCUCUCCGCCUUCCGGUGGCCCCUUCCGCGCAUCUCGGAGCCACACACCCAAUACGCCCCGCCACGCGCAG